rnacentral:lncRNA from 1 species
UUUAUUUAACUACUUUAAUUUUUUGGUGAGAGUCGCCAAACCUCGCACCAAAACCACAUUUUGGUUAAAUAUAAAUAAAAUCAACAUGCAAUGAGGCUGGGCGUGGUGGCUCACUGUAAUCCCAGCACUUUGGAAGGCCAUGGCGGAUGGAUCACCUGAAGUCAAGAGUUGGAGACCAGACUGACCAACAUGGUGAAACUCCAUCUCUACUAAAUACAAAAAAGUAGCUGCGCAUGGCCGGGCGCAGUGGCUCACGCCUGUAAUCCCAGCACUUUGGGAGGCCGAAGCGGGCAGAUCACGAGGUCAGGAGAUCGAGACCAUCCUGGCUAACACGGUGAAACCCCUUCUCUACUAAAAAUACAAAAAAAUUAUCCAGGCAUGGUGGCGGGCGCCUGUAGUCCCAGCUACUCGGGAGGCUGAGGCAGGAGAAUGGCGUGAACCCGGGAGGCGGAGCUUGCAGUGAGCCAAGAUCACGCCACCGCACUCUAGCCUGGGCAACAGAGCAAGACUCCCUCUCAAAAAAAAAAAGUAGCCGGGUGUGGUGGCGCAUACCUGUAAUCCCAACUACUUGGGAGACUGAGGCAGGAGAAUCACUUGAACCAGGGAGGCGGAGGUUGUAAGUGAGCCAACAUAGCGCCCCUGCACUCCUCCAGCCUGGGCAACAAGAGCAAAACUCCAUCUCAAAAAAAAAAAAAAAAAAAAGGACAGGCGCAGUGGCUCACUACUGUAAUCCCAGCACUUUGGGAGGCCGAGGCAGGCGGAUCAUGAGGUCAGGAGAUUGAGGCCAUCCUGGCCAACAGGGUGAAACCCCGUCUCUACUAAA